rnacentral:rRNA from 1 species
CAGUGAGGAAUAUUGGUCAAUGGGCGCAAGCCUGAACCAGCCAUGCCGCGUGCAGGAAGAAUGUCCUAUGGAUUGUAAACUGCUUUUAUUUGGGAAUAAACCUUCGAACGUGUUCGAAGCUGAAGGUACCAAAUGAAUAAGCACCGGCUAACUCCGUGCCAGCAGCCGCGGUAAUACGGAGGGUGCAAGCGUUAUCCGGAAUCAUUGGGUUUAAAGGGUCCGCAGGCGGGCAUAUAAGUCAGUGGUGAAAGCCUACAGCUCAACUGUAGAACUGCCAUUGAUACUGUAAGUCUUGAAUUCGGUCGAAGUGGGCGGAAUGUGUAGUGUAGCGGUGAAAUGCAUAGAUAUUACACAGAACACCGAUAGCGAAGGCAGCUCACUAGGCCUGGAUUGACGCUCAGGGACGAAAGCGUGGGGAUCAAACAGGAUUAGAUACC